rnacentral:rRNA from 1 species
UACAGAGGGGGCAAGCGUUGUUCGGAAUUACUGGGCGUAAAGGGCGCGUAGGCGGCCUGUUAAGUCAGACGUGAAAUCCCUCGGCUCAACCGGGGAGCUGCGUCUGAUACUGGCGGGCUUGAAUUCGGGAGAGGGAUGUGGAAUUCCAGGUGUAGCGGUGAAAUGCGUAGAUAUCUGGAGGAACACCGGUGGCGAAGGCGGCAUCCUGGACCGACAUUGACGCUGAGGCGCGAAAGCCAGGGGAGCAAACGGG